GACAGAGGGUGCAAACGUUGCUCGGAAUCACUGGGCGUAAAGGGCGUGUAGGCGGGUAGGCAAGUCAGAUGUGAAAUCCCUGGGCUCAACCCAGGAACUGCAUUUGAAACUCCCUUUCUUGAGUGUCGGAGAGGAAAGCGGAAUUCCUGGUGUAGAGGUGAAAUUCGUAGAUAUCAGGAGGAACACCAGCGGCGAAGGCGGCGCUCUGGGCCGGUACUGACACUGAGGAGCGAAAGCGUGGGGAGCAAACAGG
rnacentral:rRNA from 1 species